rnacentral:lncRNA from 1 species
UGUUUAGAAGCCAGAAAGUAGCAAAUGAGAGACUACUAAGGAGUGAAAAGGUAUGUCAAACAGCUGAUACUCAGGGGCAUGAACAUCAGACCACCAGGAGAUCAUUUAAUGCUAAGUCUAAAAAAUGUGGCUUAAUCAAAGAAAAGAAAGCCCCAAUAAGUUUUAAAACCAGAGCUGAGGCCCUCCAUAUGUGUGUGGAGCACUCUGAGCACACACAGUACCCCUGCAUGGUUCAAGGAUG